rnacentral:rRNA from 1 species
GAUGAACGCUGACAGAAUGCUUAACACAUGCAAGUCAACUUGAAUUUGGGUUUUUAACUUAGGUUUGGGUGGCGGACGGGUGAGUAACGCGUAAAGAACUUGCCUCACAGCUAGGGACAACAUUUGGAAACGAAUGCUAAUACCUAAUAUUAUGAUAAUAGGGCAUCCUAUAAUUAUGAAAGCUAUAAGCGCUGUGAGAGAGCUUUGCGUCCCAUUAGCUAGUUGGAGAGGUAACGGCUCACCAAGGCGAUGAUGGGUAGCCGGCCUGAGAGGGUGAUCGGCCACAAGGGGACUGAGACACGGCCCUUACGCCUACGGGAGGCAGCAGUGGGGAAUAUUGGAAAAUGGACCAAGAGUCUGAUCCAGCAAUUCUGUGUGAACGAUGAAGUUUUUCGGAAUGUAAAGUGCUUUCAGUUGGGAAGAAAGAAAUGACGGUACCAACAGAAGAAGUGACGGCUAAAUACGUG